GUAGCUAAUACCGCAUAACGUCGCAAGACCAAAGUGGGGGACCUUCGGGCCUCAUGCCAUCAGAUGUGCCCAGAUGGGAUUAGCUAGUAGGUGGGGUAACGGCUCACCUAGGCGACGAUCCCUAGCUGGUCUGAGAGGAUGACCAGCCACACUGGAACUGAGACACGAUCCAAACUUAUACGGGAGGCAGCAGUGGGGAAUAUUGCACAAUGGGCGCAAGCCUGAUGCAGCCAUGCCGCGUGUGUGAAGAAGGCCUUCGGGUUGUAAAGCACUUUCAGCGGGGAGGAAGGCGAUGAGGUUAAUAACCUUGUCGAUUGACCUUACCCGCAGAAGAAGCACCGGCUAACUCCGUGCCAUCAGCCGCGGUAAUACGGAGGGUGCAAGCGUUAAUCGGAAUUACUGGGCGUAAAGCGCACGCAGGCGGUCUGUCAAGUCGGAUGUCAAAUCCCCGGGCUCAACCUGGGAACUGCAUUCGAAACUGGGAGGCUAGAGUCUUGUAGAGGGGGGUAGAAUUCCAGGUGUAGCGGUGAAAUGCGUAGAAGAUCUGGAGGAAUACCGGUGGCGAAGGCGGCCCCCUGGACAAAGACUGACUGCUCAGGUGCGAAAGCGUG
rnacentral:rRNA from 1 species